rnacentral:rRNA from 1 species
GUGAAUGAAAAGGAUUUCGGUUCUUAAGUCUGUUGUUGGACGAAAAGUACAGUAGUAACUGGCUGUACCUUGACGGUACCUUAUUAAAAAGCCACGGCUAACUACGUGCCAGCAGCCGCGGUAAUACGUAGGUGGCAAGCGUUGUCCGGAAUUAUUGGGCGUAAAGCGCGCGCAGGUGGUUUCUUAAGUCUGAUGUGAAAUCCCCCGGCUCAACCGUGGAAGGUCAUUGGAAACUGGGAGACUUGAGUGCAGAAGAGGAUAGUGGAAUUCCAAGUGUAGCGGUGAAAUGCGUAGAGAUUUGGAGGAACACCAGUGGCGAAGGCGACUAUCUGGUCUGUAACUGACACUGAGGCGCGAAAGCGUGGGGAGCAAACAGGAUUAGAUACCCUGGUAGUCCACGCCGUAAACGAUGAGUGCUAAUUGUUAGGGGGUUUCCGCCCCUUAGUGCUGCAGCUAACGCAUUAAGCUCUCCGCCUGGGGAGUACGGUCGCAAGACUGAAACUCAAAGGAAUUGACGGAACCGGGAGGCA